rnacentral:tRNA from 1 species
GGGCGGGUGGUGGAACGGUAGACACGCGGGUCUUAGAAGCCCGUGCCGAAAGGUGUGAGGGUUCGAUUCCCUCCCCGCCCA